CUGGAAGCUAGGAGAUCAAAGCCUGGUUUCUUCUCUUAGUCCCACCUCAGCUCUGCCUAUGAAGCCAUCCCUCCAUCUGACCUCCAAAGAGCAGCCUUUGUUCAUUCCAUGCAGAUGUCCUGAAUGCACACCCUGUGCAAAGGGGCGUAAACUGAGCACUUGUGGUUUCAUCCAGUUCUGGAAGAAGUGGCUGUGCAAUGGAAGGAGCCACUGUGAAUCACCAGAGUGGGGGGAAAAAAUGCAGAUUGAAAUAAACAGAGAGGCAACUGGAAAUGACGAGCAUGAGCAGGCGAUGACUAAGGGACAGAUCAGUGCGUCAGACAAGGAGCUCUUAUGGAGGUGGCUUGGAGGUGGGCAGGAGACCGGAAGAAAGAGCUAUCAUUACACUUUCAUGAUUGUGUGCCCACGUCCACCCAUGCAAAAAAAGGAGGCACUGGCGAGCAAUGAUGCCAAGUACGCUAGUGUCUGUGAAGACGAAACACCUUCAGCACUAGGAAUUACUCUGCACCUUCUUCCGCCAGUCAGCCUUUCACCAGUCCUGCACUGAGGACUGGGGACAGCUCUCAACUUCCUGUUCUCAGCCUUCCCUUCCCUGUGCCUCCCAAUCCAUGUUUACCAUCAGAGCAGAAAGAAUUUGGAGAAAGGAAUGCCUUGGUCUAAGGAGACGAUACUGAGCUGGAUGGCACUUUCUCAAAUGUUGGAAGUGCUUUUUGCUGAAGAGAUUCUGUCCAGGUCCUUGUGUAAAGUGACUCGACUCUACACGUGUAUACUCUGAGUCACCUCCAGGAGGCUAAGGCAGAAGGAUUGCCACAACUUAGAGGCCAGCUCAGAAAACACAGUAUGAUUCUGUCUAAAACAAUAAUAAAUUUUAAAAGGAAGAGACCAAGAUAAGCAGCCUCAAAGGAAGGACAACCAUAUGAAGACUCGGGCUGAAGGUAGCAUCUGCAAGAACAAUACAGAGACCUCCGGAGAAACCAGCCCCACUUUGAGCUUGGAUCCCAGCCUCCAGAACAACAAGGAAAUACAUUUCUAUUAUUAAAUCAAGUCCAUGGCCUUCUAUCAGAGGAUCCAUAUAUGCACUAGUAUCAGAUGUCCUGAUUCUAAGCUCCCUAUGGAUGGAAAACUUCACCAGGCUCUUGAGGAUGGCAUCACUAGAUAGUGAGGGCCUUGUGUGCCCUGGAACCACUGUGAGUGACUUGGGUCACUUGUCUGUCCUGCCAAAGUCACUUAAAACAGCAGCAUGAAGCCACUCAUGGCCUCACUUUGCCCUAUCAUCCCACUGGUGCUGUACCCACAAGCUUAAAGCCUGAGGAGGUCCCCCUGGGAACCUGAGAGCAUUUCUUACAGGAAUUUCACAGGGGACCAUAUAAAGAACCUCUUUGAAGAAUUAGCAUCAGCGCUGGAGAGAUGGCUUAGUGAUUGAGAGCACUGGCUUUCUUUCUUUGGACCCAGGAUCAGUACCCAGCAUCCACAUGCACUUCACAAUUGUCUGUAAUACAAGUUCCAGGGGAUCUUACACCCCCAUACAAGCAAAACCCUGAUGUAUAUUAAAUUAAAAAAUUAAUAAAUCUUAAAAAAAAGAAAGAAAAAGAAUUAAUGUCAAGCCCCUGAUAAAUGUGUACAAUGGGUAAAGAGAAAGCUGUAUUUGGUUUGAACACAUGGCUCCUUCCUGGUAACUGUGCCUUUAAUAGCUUACCAGAGACAUGGACUUGCAAGAGUGGGACAGACACACCAGGCUUUCUUAGCACAAUAAGCCUGCAGUGAUUCCAAAUUUUCACCAAGCUGUUGAUUAAACAGUUCAGACUUAUAAUUUGCCAGAAAGCUCUGCCCCAUGCCUCUUCCACUGCUCUUCCUUAAGACCACUGAAGGAAUGACAUAAGACUCCCACAAGUGUUCAUCAACCCCUGCUGUUAUGCUCCAUGAUGGUCACAAACCUACUUCCAGUGGUGUAGAGUCCAUCUACAUAGUCUCCCCUUGCCCACACUCUUGACUUCCUACCUGCCCAACGUCUACCAGCUGAAGGGGGAGUACACAUUGGACUGGAAAUCAAAGAACAGUGGAGUCUUCUUCCAAUUUUACUUGGAUUCCAGGUAUCAAACUCAGGUUUCUAUUGCCGUGAUGAAACACCAUGACCAAAAAGAAGGGGGAGUAAGCUGUGAGAAGGGUCAAGUGCGGAGUAAUGGAAGCUGGAGUCUGGAAGAGGAGACUGGAGCAUGCGAAAGGCAGACGUGAGGAAUGCGGACAGAGACCAGCUCACUUGAGCGUUUCCUCUGCAGCAUGAGCUGGUCUGCAAGAGCUGCACCCAAGAAAGGGUGGAAGCCUCUGAGAGCCAGGAAGUGUUCUAGGUGCUGUAUUGCUUCAUCACUAAUAAUCUCAGCUACUUGGAAAGAGUCCAGAGGAUGGUGACAGGGAGAGUGGUGAUGGAUGGUGACCCCGCCUAUUUGCCAUCUCCCGGCUCCUUCCUCCUUCGCUGCUCUAACAGGGAUGGUGACCAAAGCUGGAACUUGUAGUGGUUGGAGGGGAGGGAGAGCAGCCUUUUUUCACACAUUCCUGCAAUCCCAUGUCGCCUUUCCUCCUCUGUUUGGCUGCCACACCCAGUUCCCAUCAAUUCAGGGAUGUGAUUAUCAGGAGAAAUGGCCAAAAGUGCCUCACCAACUAUUACAGAAAGAAUGACUCAGGACCUCCUGACGUUGUUGUUUGGAACCUUCCGUGGUGAUAGUUAACAGUAUCCCAGAUCCUGGACCAGAUAUUCUGCACAUUUUUCACAGCAUCAUGUAUGACAAGCAGUUCAGCUUGCAUGGGGAAUAGAUACUGCUACAAUGCAGCCUGUUUGACAAGUGAGAAAACAGCAUGGCGUUGUGCCUCUUCUUAUCCAUAUUUUGCCUUCCAAUAAGACACCUUACUAUAUUGAAAACCCCAGACCUCCUUCUGGAAAAGGCCUUAGACAUGGUGGAUUCUAGCCUCUCACAUGAAGCAGGUAUCAUUCUGUGGCUUGAACAGUCUUGGACUCAACAGGUAGCCUGCUCCAUUGUGCAUCGCUCUAACUGAAUCAAACCCUGAGGCUUGUUUCCCAGGCAGCCCAGAGAAAACAUAGCCAUGAAGGUGGAAAGGCUCCCAGUUCUCCCAGCAUAUGCAAGUCCUCACUGGGAUGAGCAAGAGAAGGACCAUUUCCUAACCUGACCAGGAAGAAAGACAACACCACGCUCCAGUGGGGUCCUGGAAAAGGUGGCUCUUAGGCUCUGACUCCGAGAAACCAUAGACGGUUUGUCAGCCUUAAAUCACCCAGAGGGAGGACACUGGCAUGUUGCGCCCUGGGGAUACCGUUAGGUCAAGUCCAAAACUGUUCAGCAAACAUUUGUUUAGAUCCAAAAAUGGAUAUCAAAAUGCCGAAGCCCAUCUCUGCAGGUGGUGACUCACAAAUCAGUUUGAAAGCACAAGGUACCCCUGGAAAUGGCUUCCUUGUCCAAUCUUAACGAGCCUAGCUGGCUACAUUUCUGGUUUCCCUUCAGGCUGGUGGACAGACCCACCAAGGCCUUAUCAGCUAGCUACAACACCUGGAGGGGGCUCAGUGGUCUUUUCCCACUCCCAUGCCCACCAUCUGGGCUGUGUCCCCUGAAGAGGGAUGGGACAUUUGCUCAGAGAGACAUGGGCAGCGCAUUUCUAUUGAAAAAGGCCUGUAAGGUAACCAGGGACAUUGCUGGCCAGGAGAUAGCUGCCUGGAAGUAACAACCAACCUCUUGAGAACCUGCUUAUCCAGGUGACAGCCACCAGCACUGUUGCUCUGCCCUCCUGGGCAUGUGUAUGGAGAGCAGGCAAGCAGAGACAGGAACUUUCCUGAGAACUCAGGAAACUAUAAAUAAAAAAGAAAAUAGGAACCAAACCUUUUCACACUAAAGGGAGUCCGCAUAUGGAAGAAGUUACUGGAACAAAAAGUCAGCAAGGGACAUAAAUGAGUUCACCAUACAUCUUGCUCAGUCGGCUAGAACAAGGCCCAGAGGGACGCAGAAUAAGAAAGGAGAGAAUAGGCCACGAUCUCCCUUUCUUUAUCAGUUAUACAUUCAUUGGUUCCACAAAAAUGUCAGAGAAACUAGGCACUUGAAAUGUGAGAUAGAAGGAUCAUGGGUUCAAGGCUAGCUUGGGCUACACAGUGGAAUCUUGUCUUUAAAAACAAUAAUACGAGGGCUGGAGAGAUGGCUCAGAGAGUAAGAGCCUCCUCGGCUGCUCUUCAAGGGGAGUCGGAGUCAAUUCCCAGAACACACAUGGAGGCUCACAUCAUAACCACCUCUAAUUCCAAUCCCAGGGAUACAUAUGAUGUCCUUGUGUGGCCUCCUUGAGCACUGCAUGGCUGUGUGCCACAGCCAUGCAUUUGGGUGAACACUCAUGCAUAUAAAAUAAAAAUAAAUACCCCCCCAAAGAUUUAGAAAUGUGAUUUAAAAGUAAAAACAAUGGUAUAAGGACUGAGAAUUUAGCUCAGUGGGUAAGAACACUUGUGCAACCGUGAGGACCUGAGUUUAGACCCCCCCUCCCACAGCACCCACGUAAAAAUCUGAGUGUGACUGUAUACUCUGUAACCCCAGCAGUGUGGGGAGAGCAGACAGGAGGGAUGCUGCCAUUUUAUGGCCACCAGCCUAGCUGGAUAAACAAAAGUUCAGUGAGAAGCUAUAUCUCCAGGGAUUAAGAUGGGGAGCAAUAGAUAAGGAUAUCCAAUGUUCUCUUGGCUCUGUACACACAGGUACACACACACACACACACACACACACACACACACACACACACACUGAUGACUACCUACUAGACAGCCAUUGUGCCAGAUUCCAAGGAACAAGGAUGAAAUAAAGCCUGGUCCCUGUUCUUAAAUUUCCCACUGAGUAGUGUUGUCAUUGCCUAGGGCUUUUUCAGUUUUAGGGUUCUAUUAUAAGUCUCUCAGGAGGCACUGGUGAGAUGGCUCAGAAGUUAAGGGCAUUGUCUGCCCUUGCAGCGGACCCAGAUGCAAUUCCCAGCAGCCACAUAGUGGCUUACAACGGGCUGUUAACUCCAGACCUAGAGGAUCUGACAUCCUCUUCCGGCCUCUGUGGGCAUGGCAUGGAUAUAAUGCAUACACAUACAUACAUGUAGGUGGAAUAGCCAUAUACAAAAAAGUGAGUCUUUUUUGUAAGCAAUAGCCUGGCUUUUAAAAGCAAGACACACCCACCUAUAGUUCAGGGCACUGUUUUUACAGGGUUCAAAAGUAUUUGAUCACUGGCUAAUUGGAAAUUUAAGCAAGAGGGCAAUAACCAUGAAGCCUAGCAUUUUGUGGGGGUAGCCUGUACUUUCCUGUAAUUUGGAGAAUGUUUAUGUAUGAAGGAAAAUAAGACAAUUGACUAUCCCAGACAUUUUUACUUUCAGCUUAUUAAAUAAAAAGAAAACAUUUUUUAAAAUUGUAUAUAGUCUGUGUGUGUGUGAGAGAGAGAGAGAGAGAGAGAGAGAGAGAGAGAGAGAGAGUGUGUCAUAGCCCUUGUGUGAAAAUCAGAGGCCAACAUUUAAAAAUCUAUUCUCUCCUUCUACUGUGUGUGGAAAUCAGGUAUGGAAAUCAGGCUUUCAGAAUUGGCAGCAAGUGCCUUUACCAGCUGAACCACCUUGCUGAACAACAAAAAAAAAGUCAACUAUUAAGAAAAAAACAAAACUAAAAACACUUCAAAUCACAAAAAAAGUUAUCAUCAUAGUUAAAUUUACUGUAUACAUUUAAAUUACAUUUUGAGCUACCAUUAUAAUAUUGCAUAUUUUUAAAAGAUUUUCCAUUAACUCAGGGUUUUGUUUUGUUUUAACACGCCAUGUAGGAAUAUGGAGGCUGAAACCUCAUAUCUGGAGCAAGAAGUCAUCCACUACAACCCCAGAAUUUCCUAAAGUUAGCAAAUCUGCCAACAUUGGUGGUUUUGGGCCAUUUCCCACACAGCAGCUCUGCCCCGCAGAGGCCAGAGCCCAUAUUCAGUGAGGCUCAAACCUACAGAUUCAAGCUGUGUUGAGCAGUACCACCUGGAAAGGUAAAAGUGUAAAAACAGCAUAAAAAGUAAACUUGAACUCCACAUCCCAAAUGCAGAAAGAGCAGCGUUCUGUCUGUUUUUCCAUAGCGUGCCCUGCAGGAGGGGACAAUUCGG
ensembl:lncRNA